UUUUUUUCCCAAAUCUCGCACGGUUGCAAGCCUGCAAGCGCGGCGAUUUUCUUCUCCGGCUGCACGAUUUUCUUCUCCGGCUGCACGCGAUCUUCUUCUCCGGUCCCAAAUCAGGCACGGUUCUAAGGCAGGCAUGGCUCUGACUUAAGGGGUAAGCAAUCUUCUUCUCUGGUCUCAAAUCCCGCACGACUCUAAGGCACGCAACGCUCCGGCUUAAGGCGCUCGUGAUCUUCUUCUCCGGAGUUCUUUCCACGAUCCACCGAACAAGAUCAAUUCAGGUAAUCCUAAUUUUCUUCUCCAUCCUUCUUCUCCGUCCUAGAACGUGCAACACUAGUUGUGUCCUACUCACGCGAUCGAGGUCAUGACCUAAUCGCGCGGUGGUUGUCGCACGGGACGCCAAUCGCUCGCGCGACCUAAUUGCGAGGUGGUUGUGCCUAGUCAUUGCCGUAACCACCACAUUGGUUGUAGCCUUGGUCAUCUUGGCUGCUGGAAGUGAUAGCAAGGUCAGGGAUGCCAGCAGAUAAAGUCUCAGCUUUCACUUGCUUGGUCGAGGAUAACCCCAUCGCAAAUAUGAGGGCACUCGAUUCCCUUUUGUCUAUGGUGACAUCCAAGGUAGGGAAAUGCUAUGCAUUUACUAGCUUUGAAGCACUGAAGGAGUUGUUCCUUUUGAGGAACAAUAUAAAGAGAGACAAAAUGUUGAUGAUCAGUCUACUCAGUCUUCAUUCAAUCUCAAGUCAUGGUGUGAUGUGGUGGGAGACCCAUGCAAGGUGAGAGUGUAUGGAUUUGGAUGCAAUCAACACUUUAGAAGAUCAUACAAUGGAAAUUCCAAUGAAAUGUGCUCCCAUGAGAAGAACAAGGAAUUAUUUCAAGAAAUUGAAGACAUGCGUGCUACUAACAAGAGGAUGGAGGAAGAAAUUACUGAAAGUAAAAAUAAAUUGGAACUUAUUAUCAAAGAAAAUAGACAGAUGGAAGAACAACGUAUCCAGAAAGGUACACAAAGAAGAAAAUCUAAAGGAGAUGAUUCGUAAAAUGAUUCAAGAGGUGGGAUAUACAAAUCAUUUAUAUCUAAGAGGAUCUGGUCCUAGUGAGUGUUGUGAUAAGUGAAAUAAAGAUUAAAUUAUUUUAUCUUUGAUUAAUGGUUAAAUGUAUUUAGGUGGUGUGAAUAUUUAUUUAUUUCAAUAUUAAUUGUAAGAUAUUUUGCAUUAAAAUUAAUUGUUUUAAAUAUU